AUUGAACGCUGGCGGCAGGCCUAACACAUGCAAGUCGAACGAGUGGCAGACGGGUGAGUAAUGUCUGGGAAACCGCCUGAUGGAGGGGGAAAACCACUGGAAACGGUCGCUAAUACCGCAUAACAUCAGAUGUGCCCAGAUGGGUUUCGCUAGUUGGUGGGGUAACGGCUCACCAAGGCGACGACCCCUAGCUGGUCUGAGAGGAUGACCAGCCACACUGGAACUGAUACACGGUCCAGACUCCUACGGGAGGCAGCAGUGGGGAAUAUUGCACAAUGGGCGCAAGCCUGAUGCAGCCAUGCCGCGUGUAUGAAGAAGGCCUUCGGGUUGUAAAGUACUUUCAGUGGGGAGGCGUUACCCGCAGAAGAAGCACCGGCUAACUCCGUGCCAGCAGCCGCGGUAAUAC
rnacentral:rRNA from 1 species